rnacentral:rRNA from 1 species
CGGGUGCACUGAUCCAGCCGGGCCUUUCCCUCUGUGGAACCCCAUGGCCUUCACUGGCUGUGGUGGGGAAACAGGACUUUUACUUUGAAAAAAUUAGAGUGCUCCAGGCAGGCCUAUGCUCGAAUACAUUAGCAUGGAAUAAUAGAAUAGGACGUGUGGUUCUAUUUUGUUGGUUUCUAGGACCGCCGUAAUGAUUAAUAGGGACAGUCGGGGGCAUCAGUAUUCAAUUGUCAGAGGUGAAAUUCUUGGAUCUAUUGAAGACUAACUACUGCGAAAGCAUUUGCCAAGGAUGUUUUCAUUGAUAAGGAACGAAAGUUAGGGGAUCGAAGACGAUCAGAUACCGUCGUAGUCUUAACUAUAAACUAUGCCGACUAGGGAUCGGACGAUGUUAUUCUUUGACGCGUUCGGCACCUUUCGAGAAAUCAAAGUGCUUGGGCUCCAGGGGGAGUAUGGUCGCAAGGCUGAAACUUAAAGAAAUUGACGGAAGGGCACCACCAGGGGUGGAACCUGCGACUUAAUUUGACUCAACACGGGGAAACUCACCAGGUCCAGACACAGUGAGGAUUGACAGAUUGAGAGCUCUUUCUUGAUUCUGUGGGUGGUGGUGCAUGGCCGUUCUUAGUUGGUGGAGUGAUUUGUCUGCUUAAUUGCGAUAACGAACGAGACCUUAACCUGCUAAAUAGCCCGUACUGCUUUGGCAGUUCGCCGGCUUCUUAGAGGGACUAUCGG